GACCCUCCCUUACCACCCUUACACGCCCCCAUUCGUCCGCUGCUCAGUUAGGGGCGCACCAGACUUGCCCUCCAAGAUUUAUUGGAGGGCAAGUCUGGUGCCAGCAGCCGCGGUAAUUCCAGCUCCAAGAGCGUAUAUUAAAGUUGUUGCAGUUAAAAAGCUCGUAGUUGAACCUUGGGUUUUGGAGGGAGGUCCACCUCACGGUGAGUACUUCCAUAUCCAAGACCUUUCCUCUGCUUCCUCGCAAGAGGCAGCAGAAUAUUACUUUGAGUAAAUGAGAGUGUUCAAAGCAGGCGCACGCUUGAAUCUGUUAGCAUGGAAUAAUAGAAUAGGACGCAUGGUUCUAUUUUGUUGGUUUCUAGGACCAUCGUAAUGAUUAAUAGGGACGGUCGGGGGCAUCAGUAUUCAGUUGUCAGAGGUGAAAUUCUUGGAUUUACUGAAGACUAACUACUGCGAAAGCAUUUGCCAAGGACGUUUUCAUUAAUCAAGAACGAAAGUUAGGGGAUCGAAGAUGAUCAGAA
rnacentral:rRNA from 1 species